rnacentral:rRNA from 1 species
AGCGGGAUGCCUUACACAUGCAAGUCGAACGGCAGCACGGACUUCGGUCUGGUGGCGAGUGGCGAACGGGUGAGUAAUGUAUCGGAACGUGCCUAGUAGCGGGGGAUAACUACGCGAUAGCGUAGCUAAUACCGCAUACGCCCUACGGGGGAAAGCAGGGGAUCGCAAGACCUUGCACUAUUAGAGCGGCCGAUAUCGGAUUAGCUAGUUGGUGGGGUAACGGCUCACCAAGGCGACGAUCCGUAGCUGGUUUGAGAGGACGACCAGCCACACUGGGACUGAGACACGGUCCAGACUCCUACGGGAGGCAGCAGUGGGGAAUAUUGGACAAUGGGCGCAAGCCUGAUCCAGCCAUACCGCGUGGGUGAAGAAGGCCUUCGGGUUGUAAAGCCCUUUUGUUGGGAAAGAAAAGCAUUCGGUUAAUACCCGGGUGUUCUGACGGUACCCAAAGAAUAAGCCACCGGCUAACUUCGUGCCAGCAGCCGCGGUAAUACGAAGGGUGCAAGCGUUACUCGGAAUUACUGGGGCGUAAAGCGUGCGUAGGUGGUGGUUUAAGUCCGUUGUGAAAAGCCCUGGGCUCAACCUGGGAAUUGCAGUGGAUACUGGAUCACUAGAGUGUGGUAGAGGAUAGUGGAAUUUCCGGUGUAGCAGUGAAAUGCGUAGAGAUCGGAAGGAACAUCUGUGGCGAAGGCGACUAUCUGGGCCAACACUGACACUGAGGCACGAAAGCGUGGGGAGCAAACAGGAUUAGAUACCCUGGUAGUCCACGCCCUAAACGAUGUCAACUAGCUGUUGGGGCCUUCGGGCCUUGGUAGCGCAGCUAACGCGUGAAGUUGACCGCCUGGGGAGUACGGUCGCAAGAUUAAAACUCAAAGGAAUUGACGGGGACCCGCACAAGCGGUGGAUGAUGUGGAUUAAUUCGAUGCAACGCGAAAAACCUUACCUACCCUUGACAUGUCUGGAAUGCCGAAGAGAUUUGGCAGUGCUCGCAAGAGAACCGGAACACAGGUGCUGCAUGGCUGUCGUCAGCUCGUGUCGUGAGAUGUUGGGUUAAGUCCCGCAACGAGCGCAACCCUUGUCAUUAGUUGCUACGAAAGGGCACUCUAAUGAGACUGCCGGUGACAAACCGGAGGAAGGUGGGGAUGACGUCAAGUCCUCAUGGCCCUUAUGGGUAGGGCUUCACACGUCAUACAAUGGUCGGGACAGAGGGUCGCCAACCCGCGAGGGGGAGCCAAUCCCAGAAACCCGAUCGUAGUCCGGAUCGCAGUCUGCAACUCGACUGCGUGAAGUCGGAAUCGCUAGUAAUCGCGGAUCAGCAUGUCGCGGUG